CACUCAAAGCAUUGACACGCUUGUAAGGCACGUGGGAUUGUAGUUAGAUGUAGGUCAAGUUCUGAAUCUAAUCCAAUCCAUUACAGAACCUCCGUGCGUGCCACAAACGUUCGCUGUUCUUCCGUACUAGCUUCAUAUUCAAUCACAAAAACCUACAACCCUAACCCUAACCCUAAUUCUCCCCUCCAAUCAUGGCCACCGAUGGCCACGACUCUCGACGCAAGCAUCACCGAUCAUCCUCUCCGGACGACCACGACAAAUCCUCAAAGCGUCAUAAGCACCGUCACCAUCAUAGCCACCGUCAUCGCCAUGGAAGCAAAAAACGCGACGAGGAGAUUCAACACGAUGGCGAGAUUGUUGCCGCGGUUCCUUCUCCAAGUCCCGUUUCUGAUCCUGCUCUGCAUAAUCAUCCCCCUGACGAUGAUGUUGAGGAGGGAGAGAUUCUUGAUGACGAGCCUUUGGGCGGUGAGGUUGGAAUUGGAAAGAAGCAGAUUGAAUCUGAUGUUGAAUCUGGGGAAAUUGAGGUGAAAGGAGAUCGAGAUCUUCGAUCUGAGAAGAAAAAUCCGGGACUUAUUGCUAAAAGUUUGAAAACUGAAAGUGAGGACUUCAACAGUGAUAGAUUUAUUAGGCCUACUUCUGAUGCAGACGAUGGGAAAUGGUGUCAGAGGCAUGUUGAAUCUCGAAGUCAUGAAGAUGAUGAUUCUCCAAACCACUCGAGAGAUGAAACUCAAGUUGGGAGGGAUGUUCGAGCUGGUACUGAUUCUUUGGGCAAUGGGUAUUUAGAUGUUAAGUCUUCUAAAGGGGAUAAGUGGCAGAAUGGGGAGUUUGGACAUUUUAAAGGAAAUGAGAAACUAAAAGGUGACUAUGAUGAUGAAGCACUGGAGGCUAUUAGAAAGAAAGAAAAUUCCCACAAGAAUGCCAUUGAAAGUGGAGAAGAAAAACAUAGAAUGCCAGGUAAUUCUCCUUUGCACGAUGGAUACAGAAGUCGAUCAAGAUCAAUUGGCCAUACAAGAGACAGGUCUCGUUCUCGCAGUGCUGUAGAAGAGUAUGUCCGUCCCAGUAGCAGGCACUCUAGGGAACACGGUUCCCUUUAUUACACUAGCAGACAUAAGACUGAAUAUGAUCUUGAUGAGGAAAGAGUGAGUGCGUACAGAAGGGAGCAUCGUCACAGCAGUAAGGAUUUGGUAGAGGAUGAUAAACCGGAACACAGUACUAGGUAUGACAGUCGGGAUGGCCGGGAUAGGGAUAGGGCUACCCACAGGAGUAGGGACAGAGAUAUGGAUAGAGAUUUGCACAGAGAAAAGAAGCGAGAGGAAACAUGCAGGAAUAAGGAGGUUGAUUGGGUGCGUAGAAGGGAGAAAGAACGUGGAAGGAGCCACGACAGACAUAGAAGGGACAUUGAAAAAGAUAGGAGCAGGGAAAGGGAUGAGGGCAGGGAUAGGAGAAGAGAAAUGGAAAGACAUAGGAGCAAAGACACAGUUUAUGAGAGGGAUAGGAGAAGGGAAUUGGAAAGAGAUAUGAGCAAGGACAGAACAAUAGGUGGUGAGAGAGAUAGAGACUGGAAGAGUGAAUGGGAUUAUAGGACCCGGGAAAGGGAUAACAUUAAGGAGAGGGAGAGACGAGAUGAUAGAUAUCAACACAAUGACAAAGAUGUUCCUAAUGGUAAGGAUAAGCAUAUGCGUCGUGAGGAUGGCAAUGACAGUGGGGACAGAUAUAAGAAACAUUCAAGACAUGAAGAAAAUGGACACCACACAGAUAGAAAAAGGAACUAUACCAUGGAAGAGGAUGGAAGGAAACCCAAAGGUGAGGUUGAACAAGAUGAUGUAGACGAGGAUACAUUGCAACUACCUGAGCAAGAAGAGGAAGAUCUGAACAGAAUAAAAGAGGAGAGUAGAAGGAGAAGGGAAGCUAUAAUGGAAAAAUACAAAAAGCAGAAUCAGAAAUUAGAACAAGCAGCUGGAAAUGAAGGAAAAGGCAAGGAUGUGGAGAUUCAUACUGACAUUUUUAAAGCAGUUGAUGGUAAGAGUGAUGAUGUUGAUAAUGUGGAACCAUCAUUUUCUGUUGGGAAAUCUCCACCGGAAAAUGUAAAUAUCGGCUCAGAGAAGGUACUUGGUGCUGGGGGCCUAGGCGAGGGUACUCCUAAGAGUGAAAGGUCAGCUGACAAGUAUUGUGAUGAUAUAUUUGGUGAGACGCCUACUGGAGUUCGGAAAUCGGGAAAAGGAGAUGGAUUAUUAAUUGAGAGGGUUGGCCUGCAUGACAACUGGGAUGAUGCAGAGGGCUAUUACAGUUAUCGUUUUGGUGAAAUACUUGAUGGCCGAUACGAAGUUACUGCUGCACACGGGAAGGGUGUCUUUUCAACAGUUGUACGAGCUAAGAAUCUGAAAACUGGUAAUGGUGAGCCAGAUGAAGUAGCAAUAAAAAUUAUUCGUAAUAAUGACACCAUGUACAAGGCUGGUUUGGAUGAGUUGGUCAUUUUAAAGAAAUUAGUAGGUGCAGAUCCGGAUGAUAAGCGUCAUUGUGUUCGUUUCCUUUCAAGCUUUAAGUAUAGAAAUCAUCUAUGUUUAGUUUUUGAAUCUCUAAAUAUGAAUCUGCGUGAAGUUUUAAAGAAGUUUGGUCGCAAUAUUGGCCUUAGGCUAACUGCUGUGAGGGCAUAUGCAAAACAGCUUUUUAUUGCUCUGAAGCAUCUCCGUAACUGUGGUGUUCUGCACUGUGAUAUAAAGCCUGACAAUAUGUUGGUGAAUGAAGCCAAAAAUGUUUUAAAGCUUUGUGACUUUGGGAAUGCCAUGUUUGCUGGUAAAAAUGAAGUAACACCAUAUCUCGUGAGUCGCUUUUAUCGUGCCCCUGAAAUAAUUCUUGGCUUGCAGUAUGAUCAUCCAUUGGAUAUUUGGUCUGUAGGCUGUUGUUUGUAUGAAUUGUAUACAGGGAAGGUUCUUUUUCCAGGGCUCACAAACAACGACAUGCUACGGCUUCACAUGGAAUUGAAGGGCCCUUUUCCGAAAAAGAUGCUCCGUAAGGGAGCAUUUACUGAACAACAUUAUGACCAGGACCUGAGUUUUCAUGCCACAGAGGAGGAUCCUGUAACAAAAAAGACCAUAAAGAGGAUGAUUCUUAACAUAAAGGCGAAAGAUAUUGGAACGAUCAUCACUGGCUCUCCUGGGGAGGAUCCAAAAAUGUUGGCCAAUUUUAAAGAUCUUCUAGAUAAAAUUUUUGUCUUGGAUCCGGACAAGAGGUUGACAGUCUCACAAGCAUUGAACCACCCAUUCAUCACUGGCAAGUGAUCAAUGUUGCAAAGCUUGACUCUCUGAAAUGAUAUUCACUGAUAUUUGUACAUAUUUAUCCAAUUGAUAUUAAGGUUCUAAUCAUAUGGCACUAUUUAUCUUCUCUGUACGACCCAAGGAGUAUCAUCACAGUUGUUAGCCUCUUGAAGUGAAAAAAGUGUGAUGUCGCUAAAGGCGUACACUUAACUGGCCAUUCUCGGUGGAAUGUACUGUUUCUAUUGAGACACCACGGGUUUGAGGCUUCCCUCCCAUGCUUAGAUGCAUAAAAGGAACCCAGGAGAAGGUAUCUUGGUUUGUUUAUUGGGAGAUUAAAUUUGCCUUUUUAGAAUGUAUUAUACUUUCCAUGUAACUUGGUUUGUUUAUUGGGUUUGUUAUUGGGUUUGUUUACUGUGUGGAUUGGAAAUAUAUUAAGAUGAGACUGAAGGCUCUUGCUUGAGUCAUGAAAAAAAUUUGACUUCAUCAAUUAUUCGUAUUUUAGGUAGGUGCAUAAAUUAGGAUGAGUGGUUAGUCUUGAACCUGCAUUUUCAUCCAGAUGCAGGUUCCAGCACUACACAAGUCCCUAAUUGCCACUGUUUUGAAGAAAAUUCAGUGUUAGGGAAAGAAUUAACUAGAACUGUGUUUUCCAUUCUUCUUCUUUCUUCUCCUUAGUAAUGGCCUGAGUUGGGCAUAUAGAUGUUCAAUUUAUAUAGUUGUACUUGGGCAUAUAGAUGUUCAAUUUAUAUUGUUGUACUUGGGCAUAUAGAUGUUCAAUUUAUAUAGUUGUACUUGAGCAUUUCAUUUGGUCCGAUGUCUUGAUUUCUUAUUAUUUUCUUAAGUUUGCCUUUAUGUAUCCUAAUGGAUUACUGUUGCAUUUUAUCCAUGGCGGGUCAAUCUGGAGUCAUUUCUCUUGGAUGUUUGGCUAUGUUCUUGAAGCGUUUCUUAUCUCGGUAAUGACUAAUGUAUAAUGCUCCUGCUGCUGCAACUUUUGUAAGUAUAUUGAAGUCCAAUUCCUUCUCAUCUUUAUCAGUAUUAAUUGCCUUGAUCGUCCAUGACAUCCAGUUUCUUACGAUGAUAAUACAUAUCACUUAUAUUUUUACACGUUACAUCAGUAGUUUUCUGCGGUGUUUUCAAUGAUGAUGUUGGUGUUUGGAGCCAGAUUUAAUUUUAUUCUCCUUAUGUGAUAUGGUGUUUCUUCUCACAUAUAUGCAUGGUGAUCUUGGUUUGUUCCUUAUGUUUUGCAUAAUUUUAUGCUCCCAAAUUUAUCAACUUGUUUGGUGGUUAGUCUUGUACUUUAUUCUCGACAGUCAGUGAUGACAAUCUGAAUUCCUUUAUCUAUUUAUUUUAAAUGAUAGAAAGAACUCCUAUUUUUAAAAAAUUUGGUGCUACUGAGCUUCUUAUGCUAUAGUAGGGUCCUGUAAAGGGUGAGAUCGAUUGUUCUGUAGCAUCUUUGCAUACAAGAGGGUUUUCACAACGUACUGUUAAAUAUCUGAAAUUAUAUAUCAUUGUCAAAGAUGUGGCUUGUUUAUUAUACCUUGGAAUCUAUCUGAUUUUUGUUGCAUGAUGUGUGACCACAUAAUAGUGUGAUUUGAAUUGAAUUUUAUCAUGUCCAGAAGAAAGGAAAAAGAAAUCCUGAUUUCUAUAGUAGGGUCUUGUUAAGGGUGAGAUCGAUUGUCGACAUAUUGUAGCAUCUUUGCUAACAAGAGGGUUUUCACAACUUACUUUUAGAUAUCUGAAAUUAUAUUAUGUGUAUGGGGAAAAGAACAUGGAUUAGAAGAGAGAAUUUCUCCAUAGAACCAAUAAAAAAACCAAUUGUCAAAGAUGUGGCUUGUUUCUACCUUGGAAUCUAUCUGAUUUUUGUUGCAUGAUAUGUGUGACCACAUAAUAGUGUGAUUUCUUCUGUCAUUCGAGGACAUGAUGGUUUUCCAUAAUGAAUUGAAACUUUUUUUGCAAAUCAUUUCAAGAAGAAAGGAAAAAGAAAUUCUGAUAUCUAUCCUCUGAUUUUUGAAUGAUUUCAAGAAAAAUGCUACAAUACUAAUUUUAUAUAGUGAUCGGUUUCCUUUGAUAAUGGAAUUGAAAAGAGGUAAUGGUGAAGAAUUAAUUUAUUUAAGUGCAAUAACUUAAAUAUUGAUGUAGUUUCACCAUAAACUUUCAAUGUCUUCCUCUUCGAAUUGCUGGCCCUUUACAUCAUACCCACCCUACCUAUCUUUUGGCGCCGUGACAUAAUUAACCAUAUAUAUCUCACUGUUAAGUUUUUGGUAACAGUCUUUGUCUUUCUGUUUUGAUAUAUCCUUAGGUAAUCACAUGUUUAAGGCUUUCUAAAUUUGAGAUCUUAUCAAUGACCUUGAAGGUUUUUGUUGGAUUGGAUUAUAGAAUCAGAUUGAGUGAAAGAUUAUGUUUGCAUUUUCUAAUUGCUUUAGGUUAGGUUUAGAAAAAUCUACGUCUCACUUGUUAACUUGUGCAAUAGAGUCUGGUUGCCUAGUUUAAAAACUAUAGCUAUUUUGAAAGCAACCAAUAGAUUCAAUUUGGUUUCUAAUCUUUUAGCGUGGAAUGUGCGAUGCACAUACAAAUAUUCCUGAAGUAUAGAAGAAUUGAGUAUUGCAUUUUGAGGUGUGAAUAAAAGAAUAUUUGUUAUGAUAACUUAUGUUUCUCUGGUCAACAAUUAAAAACAUAAUCUACUACAAAAAAAUUCCCGGCUUCCCACAUCUUUGGCAUGAUAUUUUGUCAUUCUAUAACAGCGGUAAGUAUUCUACAUUUGCUUGUUUUUUUUAAUAUAAUUAAUAAUUAGGUCCCUUUUGUUGUCUUUAAACGCGUACAUCUUAUGUGCUCUAUCUAAAAUGAGCUAGGAAGAUUAAUUUUAAAAUGAAUUUCAUUUUUUUUUUUCCAGUUGUAUUAUUUAAUAAUUUAAGUGUAUAUUACUUCCAAUAUAAAUAAAGGUAAUUUAAUAAUAUUAUAAUAUUUUUUACCACUUUAUUGUAUUCUUUAAUAAUUGUUCAAAACUCUAAAAGACCUCCAUUUCAAUAUUUUAGCGUAGAAAUUUGUAGUGUUUACAAAUCUUGCUUGGGUGGUUGACUUCCUACAAUUUUGAUUGAUUUCAUGAUAUUCGUUAUGAUGUCCUUAAAUAAGUCAAGGCCACUAGACGAUUAACAAUAGUUGUGUCGUGCAACUCUCUUGGAAUCUUCAACAACCAUGCCGGAGUGAAAUAAGCCCUCUAUAGUCUAUUGAUAUUGUGAAUGCUAUAGUUUUACACGGAAAAUUAUUUCCUACAAUUUUUAUUGAUUUCAUGAUAUUUGUUAUGAUGUCUUUAAAUAAGUUAAGGCCAUUAGACGAUUAACAAUAGUUGUGGUGUGCAACUCUCUUGGAAUCUUCAACAACCAUGCCGGAGUGAAAUAAGCCCUCUAUAGUCCAUAGUCCAUACCAUGAUAUUGUGAAUGCCGUAGUUUUACACGGAAAAUUAUUUCUCCCUUUCUACAAUAAUUGAUAUAUUUCUAAGAAAAGUGAUUUUAAAAAGGAUGGCAUUUAAAAUCAAAUAUAUGUAUUAUUUGAACAGUACCCUCUAAUUAAUAUUUGACUCAUCACUUUUAAGUUAUUAUUAUCAAUUAUAUAUUUAUAUUUAUGGUAGUGACUAAUACAAUAAAUCAAUAAUACUUGGUAAUUGCUGGUUGGGUUAGAGGGGUGCAAACUGUUGGUCCGGGUUCAACUAUUGAUUGUUGAUAUUUAUUAAUUAACAACUUUAAAGAUAAAAAAUUACAAUAACACUUGGUAAAGAUAAGUAAAACUAUUUUUCUUUUUUAUAAUAAAGGAAAAAAAAGAAUCAAUGUUUUAUUCAAAUUUUCAUAUUAACUAUUGGUACAAAUAUUUCAUCAUGAUUAUAAGAUUUUUUUUUUAUAUUCUCUUCGUAUUCCUGAGCACAUCUCAUCCAAUUUUUGAAUUCUAACAAAUUUUGAAUGCUUACAUUUUACAUUUAAUUAUUUUUACACACUUUUAGUUUGAACAUUUUAAUUUUGAAUUCUUAAUGUGAUAGGGUUUUUAUUGUUCUUUUGUUUUUUUAUCACUGGUAUUUUAUUUUAGUACUUGUCAGAUUAGACAAUAAUAAAAUUGGACACUGAAAAUAGAUAUUUUAGUUUUUAUUUUGAGAUUAAAAUUAAUUAAUCAACAUAUUAUAUAUAACAAAAAGCAAAAACAAACUAACAUAAAGUAAAAAGCAUAAAGUUUUAUAUUAGUAUGUAAAUAAAAAUGAAAAUAUUUUCCAAUGUUGAAAACUCUGAAUAUUUGUAGGAAUUAUUUCUAUAUGCAACUUUAAUUUUAAACAUUGAGGACCAUUUUUCUUAUUUGAUACUAUCAGUAGUUCUAUAUUUUAGUUUCAGUUCAUUGUUACCAAAUGGUCUCCUUAGUAUCCUUCGAGGUUCAGAAAAACUAAAACAAUAAAAUAAGGGAUUUUUCUUCCACCGAUGGAGAAACACACCUUAAGAAAAUCUAAAAAUGUUUCAACGAAUUUAGAAGUGUAUUUUGGACGUAUUCAUUUCGCACCAAAUCCACGCGUAAAUGAAUUCAACUCAUUUUUUUUUUGUCUGAAAUUAGUUUGGAGAUACACUUAUGUAUUCUCCAUUUACAUAUGAUAAUAUUAUUUCUAAUAAAAAUACUAUACUACUGCAAA